rnacentral:rRNA from 1 species
CGCGUAGGUGGCUUGAAAGGUCAGCGGUGAAACCCCACGGCUCAACCGUGGAACUGCCGCUGAAACCAUCUUGCUUGAGGACGGGAGGGGAGAGUGGAACUCUUGGUGUAGCGGUGAAAUGCGUAGAUAUCAAGAGGAACGCCGGUGGCGAAAGCGACUCUCUGGACCGUUCCUGACACUGAGGUGCGAAAGCUAGGGGAGCAAACAGGAUUAGAUACCCUGGUAGUCC